UGCUGCAUGGUUGUCGUCAGCUCGUGCCGUGAGGUGUCGGGUUAAGUCCCAUAACGAGCGCAACCCCUACCUUUAGUUGCCAUCAGGUUAAGCUGGGGACGUCUAAAGGAACUGCCUACGCAAGUAGUGAGGAAGGCGGGGAUGACGUCAAAUCAGCACGGCCCUUACGUCCAGGGCUACACACGUGCUACAAUGGCCGAUACAGAGGGCAGCUACCUGGUGACAGGAUGCAAAUCUCCAAAGUCGGUCUCAGUUCGGAUCGGAGUCUGCAACCCGACUCCGUGAAGUUGGAUUCGCUAGUAAUCGCGCAUCAGCCAUGGCGCGGUGAAUACGUUCCCGGGCCUU
rnacentral:rRNA from 1 species